rnacentral:rRNA from 1 species
CCCUUCGGGGGCGAGUACAGCGGCGGACGGGUGAGUAACACGUGAGCGAUCCACCUCGAGGCGGGGGACAACCCAGGGAAACCUGGGCUAAUACCGCAUACAGCGGCAGGCAUGGAAGCCUGUCGUGAAAGCUGGCCUCUCCAUGGAAGCUAGCGCCUCUGGACGAGCUCGCGGCCUAUCAGCUGGUUGGUGAGGUAACGGCUCACCAAGGCGAUGACGGGUAGCUGGCGUGAGAGCGCGAUCAGCCACACUGGGACUGAGACACGGCCCAGACUCCUACGGGAGGCAGCAGUGGGGAAUCUUGCGCAAUGGGCGAAAGCCUGACGCAGCGACGCCGCGUGGGGGAGGAAGGCCCUAGGGUUGUAAACCCCUGUCAGGUGGGACGAACCGGGGAUCGGCGAAAGCCGGUUCCUCUGACGGUACCACCAGAGGAAGCUCCGGCUAACUCCGUGCCAGCAGCCGCGGUAAAACGGAGGGAGCAAGCGUUGUUCGGAAUUACUGGGCGUAAAGGGCGCGUAGGCGGCCCUGUAAGUCGCAUGUGAAAGGCCGGGGCUCAACCCCGAGUAUUGCAUGCGAUACUGCAAGGCUAGAGACAGGUAGGGGCGAGCGGAAUUCCCGGUGUAGCGGUGGAAUGCGUAGAUAUCGGGAAGAACACCGGUGGCGAAGGCGGCUCGCUGGGCCUGUUCUGACGCUGAAGCGCGAAA